AGAACACCACGUGAAGACCCAGACACGGGGAGAAAAUGGCCGCAUAAGGAUGGAGGUAGAGACUGGAGUGACACGGCCACAAGUCAAAGAAUUUCUGGGGCCUCUGGCAGCUGGAAGAGGUGAGGACUGAUCCUCCUCUAGAGCCUCUGGAGGGUAUGCAGUCCUGCUGACCCCUCCCUUUCUGCCGGUCCUGCCUGAGUGCCCUCCCACGUGGCUGCUGCCGAGGUGGGUGCCAUCCUGACCCCAGACCCCGGGACACCAGCACCACGGCUCUUUCCACUGUGGCCGACUCUGUUCUCGAAACUAGAGGGCACCCGGCUGGCCGCCUCGGUUUCCCAACUCUGCCCCCCUUGGGGAUGGCUGCUUGCAGUUCCCUCCGUCACUAACAACCGGUCGUGUGGCGGGCCGUGCACCUCACUUUUCUUCCUGCGAAACUGAGGUUCUUUCACAGACGCAGGUUGUGAUAAAGGGGAAGAGAGCCUGCGUACUUUCAGUCAACGGAUCGACACUGAGGCCACGGGCACUUGCCAUUGGAUUUAGGACCUGGGUAAGGUCCAGGGAUUAGGACGCGGACGGACCUUGCGCAUGGCCCCCAUUCGGCCCGCCACGGAUGGGAACGUUCGUGUCGCAUUGUUCCGUGUGGCUGGAGCUCAAGGAGCCGGAAGAAAUGAUGACGGGGGCCGCGCCAAGAGUACGUGCUCAACACCUAAUCACCUUCCGGCCACACUGCGCUGUCGCCGUUUACAGACGAAGGAAGCUG